ACUCCUAAUUUGAUUGAUAAAUUAUAAUCCAAGAAAUCCCAUUAAAAAAUUCAUGAUUUUAUUACAAACUCUAGAAUAAUUUAGACUUGAUAUAAAUAACAAAAUAAUCCCAAAAAUAAGGGAGGAGAUUCUAGGAAAAGGAUCCAAAAAAAGUCAAAAGAAUUGAAUUAGGAAAGGUAUGAGUGGCAGUAAGAGUGACUUGUUUGUCAACUUUUCCACUAUCACCCCCAAAAAACUAAAAUCUAUUUAAACGCUAAGACUUAUGAAUUACUAUAAUAUAGGCAUCAAAAGCAGAUAGAUAUGGCCUCACAUAUGUAAAACCCAUAAUUCAUAGUUAUGCACAAAAGUACCUUUCUUUUUUUAUUUUUUUUGGACUUCGAACACCUACAAAUCAUCAGUAUAGAAGUAUAAUUUAUGCAAAGCAAGGUGAAACUUUGGGAGGAUAAUUUAUGAACCAUUCAAGGGUCCAUAUGGGAUUGAUUUGUGGAAAAGUAUAAGCAGGGGAUGUGAGUCGUCCAAAUUUUUUACAUUUUGAGGUAUGAGAUGGUUCAGAGUGAGAUUUUGGUCAAGCAUUUGGUGUGGUGACAAUGCUUUCAAGGAAUUCCCAGACCUUUACACCUCGGUGGUGAACAAGGAGGCAUUGGUAGAAUCAUAUCUAGCCAACCCAGAUGAAGGAGAGACCUGACAUUGGAGUCCUCUUUAUUCAGGCUUUUCGGGAUUGGGAGCUGGAAUCAGUUGCUUCUAUUUUUGAGUUACUCUAUGAUAAUUUAACUUCUGUGUGAGGGAAUGAUUGUGCCUUGUGGACAUCAUUGAAAAAAAUGGAUGUUUGAGGUUAAUUUUUUCUAUAAUGCCCUUAAGGGCUCCACAGUUUCUUUCUUCCCGUGGAAGAGCACAUAGAUGGCUAAGGCCCCUUGAAAGGAGGCGUACUUUGUAUGGACUGCAAACUCUUGUAAAAAUCUUGGCAUUCAAUAAUCUUUGUAGGAGGCUUUUGAUGAUGGUUGGUAUAGUAUGUGUUAGAGCAGCGUGGAGUCUAUUGAUCACUUGCUUCUUCAAUGUCCUGUCACAACAAAUAUUUGGUUCUUUGUUUUCAAAUUGUUUGGGUUAGUGUUGUUGAUGCCCAAAUCUAUGUAUGAGCCAUUAGGAUGUUGGCACAGACGUUUUUAUUGCCAUAGAGCAGCCAAGGUGUGAGAGCCGUGCCUCUGUCAUGAAGAAUCUGUAAUAAGAAAAAAAAUAAGUGGAUCUUCCGUACUUUUAUAAUCGAAGAACAUACUUUGCAGUCUUUAUGUGAUUGGAUGCAUGUGCUGGGCAGCAACCCUUCGAUGUCUUUUAUUGAUUUUUUUACUCUCUUUCCCUAUGAUUUGUAUUCUUUGGAAAGGGAUCACACAUCCUUAUAUGCGUCCCCUCUUAUCCUUUUCUAAUGAAAUUAUUUACUUAUAAAAAGAAAUUGUUUAAUCAACUUUCUGAUUGGGUGAUUGUUUUGCAGUGAACAUCUAUUGCAUUGAAUAUUCCACUUACAUUUAUUAGUGUUAUUUUGCUCCCACUUGUGGGGAAUGCUGUAGAUCAUGCAAGUGCUAUCACAUUUGCCAUGAAAGAUAAGCUUGACAUAACAUUAGGAGUCUCAAUAGGAUCAUCAACGCAGAUAGCUUUGUUUGUGGAAGGAACUUCCCACUAUUUUAAGGGACUAAUACUUCUUCUUUGCUAUCUGAUAGUUGCUGCAAGUUUU